AAAAACUCCGGUGGUAUGAGAUGGGCCCGCGUCUGAUUAGCUAGUUGGCGGGGUAACGGCCCACCAAGGCGACGAUCAGUAGCCGACCUGAGAGGGUGACCGGCCACAUUGGGACUGAGACACGGCCCAAACUCCUACGGGAGGCAGCAGUGGGGAAUAUUGCACAAUGGGGGAAACCCUGAUGCAGCGACGCCGCGUGAGCGAUGAAGUAUUUCGGUAUGUAAAGCUCUAUCAGCAGGGAAGAAGAUGACGGUACCUGACUAAGAAGCCCCGGCUAACUACGUGCCAGCAGCCGCGGUAAUACGUAGGGGGCAAGCGUUAUCCGGAUUUACUGGGUGUAAAGGGAGCGUAGACGGCGGUGUAAGCCAGAUGUGAAAGCCCGGGGCUCAACCCCGGGACUGCAUUUGGAACUGUAUGGCUGGAGUGUCGGAGAGGCAGGCGGAAUUCCUAGUGUAGCGGUGAAAUGCGUAGAUAUUAGGAGGAACACCAGUGGCGAAGGCGGCCUGCUGGACGAUGACUGACGUUGAGGCUCGAAAGCGUGGGGAGCAAACAGGAUUAGAUACCCUGGUAGUCCACGCCGUAAACGA
rnacentral:rRNA from 1 species